CCCUUAGAUGUUCUGGGCCGCACGCGCGCUACACUGACGAUGUCAACGAGUCUCUCCUUCGCCGAAAGGCGCGGGUAAUCUUCUGAAACAUCGUCGUGCUGGGGAUAGAUCAUUGCAAUUCUUGAUCUUGAACGAGGAAUUCCUAGUAAGCGCGAGUCAUCAGCUCGCGUUGAUUACGUCCCUGCCCUUUGUACACACCGCCCGUCGCUACUACCGAUUGAAUGGUUUAGUGAGGACUCCUGAUUGGCGCCGCCGCGCCGGCAACGGAGCAGCGGACUGCCGAAAAGUUGUUCAAACUUGAUCAUUUAGAGGAAGUAAAAGUCGUAACA
rnacentral:rRNA from 1 species